rnacentral:rRNA from 1 species
UUCAAAAAAAUCUUUUUUGAAUUUAAAAAUUGAAGUUAUUUUUAUUUGUGAAGAAACAACAAUAAAAAUUAAAGACAAGAAGACCCUAUGAAUUUUUUUUAAAACAUAAUUAAUAUUAUAAUUGUGUCUUAAUUAAUUGGGGCGAUUAAAAAAAAUUAUAAACUUUUUAUAAAAAUAAAAUGAUCCACAAAUUGUGAUUUUAUGAAAUAAAUACUCUAGGGAUAACAGCGUAAUAAUUUUAGAUAGAUCAUAUAGAAAAAAUAGUUUGCGACCUCGAUGUUGGAUUAGGAUACUUUUUUAAUGAAGAAGUUAAAAAAAGAAGUUUGUUCAACUUUUAAUAUCCUACAUAAUCUGAGUUC